UACGAAGGGUGCAAGCGUUACUCGGAAUUACUGGGCGUAAAGCGUGCGUAGGUGGUUCGUUAAGUCUGAUGUGAAAGCCCUGGGCUCAACCUGGGAAUGGCAUUGGAUACUGGCGACCUAGAGUGCGGUAGAGGGGUGUGGAAUUCCCGGUGUAGCAGUGAAAUGCGUAGAUAUCGGGAGGAACAUCUGUGGCGAAGGCGGGUUGCUGGGCCGACACUGACGCUGAUGCGCGAAAGCGUGGGGAGCAAACAGG
rnacentral:rRNA from 1 species